AGUUCAGACUCGCGGCACCGAGCUCAGUAACACGUGGCCAAACUACCCUACAGAGACGGAUACCCUCGGGAAACUGAGGUUAACCCGUCAUACCGAUCUCAGGCUUGAAUCGCAGAGAUCACAAAACGCCCCGGCGCUGUAGGAUGUGGCUGCGGUUGAUUAGGUAGACGGUGAGGUAACGGCUCACCGUGCCAAUAAUCGGUACGGGUCAUGAUAGCGAGAACCCGGAGACGGAAUCUGAGACAAGAUUCCGGGCCCUACGGGGCGCAGCAGGCGCGAAACCUUUACACUGCACGCCAGUGCGAUAGGGGGACACCGAGUGCGUAGGCAUAUAGCCUACGCUUUCGUGUACCGUAGGGUGGUACACGAAUAAGGGCUGGGCAAGACCGGUGCCAGCCGCCGCGGUAACACCGGCAGCCCGAGUGAUGGCCGAUAUUAUUGGGCCUAAAGCGUCCGUAGCUGGCCGCGUAGGUCCGUCGGGAAAUCUACUGGCUUAACCAAUAGGCGUCCGGCGGAAACCGCGUGGCUUGGGACCGGAAGACCUGAAGGGUACGUCUGGGGUAGGAGUGAAAUCCCGUUAGCCUGGACCGGACCAACGGUGGCGAAAGCGCCUCAGGAAGACGGAUC
rnacentral:rRNA from 1 species